UCCCCGGUAGCUCAGUCGGUAGAGCAGGUGGCUGUUAACCACCUUGUCCCUGGUUCGAGUCCGGGCCGGGGAGCCA
rnacentral:tRNA from 1 species